GUCCUAACAUGAGCUGAAAUUGACUGUGUCAGGAACAGGAGAAGAACCUCAUCCUGACACAAAUGGAGAUAUGGUCGUUUAAGAUCGGAUGAGGGAAAGAGCCCCCUCAACGGCUCUUCUACACCCCUACAAUUUCGUUAGGAGCAGAGGAAAAACCCUCGCCCAAACAUAAAAAAAGAGGAGAGAAAAAGGAAAAACGACGAGCCACGUCAGAGAUAAGGAAAAAAUGAACUAUAUCAAUGACGCAAGGGACCUCAUCUCAACGAGGAAGGAGACUCUUGUCAAAAACCCUCAAUCUCUAAGGAGAAACCCAACAC
rnacentral:lncRNA from 1 species